GACGGGAAGUUGCGGCUGCCAGCGAAGCGGACCGGCCGGGUGGAGGCCACACGCUACCCCGAGGCUGCGUAGGCCGCGCGAAGGGGGACGCCGUGCCGUGGGCCUGGGGUCGGGGGAGCCGCAGACCGGGAAGCACCGAUUUGGGGUGGAAGGCAGGCAUGGUCAAACCCAUUUCACUGACAGGAGAGCAGAGACAGGACGUGUCUCUCUCCACGUCUUCCAGCCAGUAAAAGAAGCCAAGCUGGAGCCCAAAGCCAGGUGUUCUGACUCCCAGCGUGGGGGUCCCUGCACCAACCAUGAGCCGCCUGCUCUGGAGGAAGGUGGCCGGCGCCACCGUCGGGCCAGGGCCGGUUCCAGCUCCGGGGCGCUGGGUCUCCAGCUCCGUCCCCGCGUCCGACCCCAGCGACGGGCAGCGGCGGCGGCAGCAGCAGCAGCAACAGCAGCCUCAGCAGCCUCAGCAGCCGCAAGUGCUAUCCUCGGAGGGCGGGCAGCCGCGGCACAACCCAUUGGACAUCCAGAUGCUCUCGAGAGGGCUGCACGAGCAAAUCUUCGGGCAAGGAGGGGAGAUGCCUGGCGAGGCCGCGGUGCGCCGCAGCGUCGAGCACCUGCAGAAGCACGGGCUCUGGGGGCAGCCAGCCGUGCCCUUGCCCGACGUGGAGCUGCGCCUGCCGCCCCUCUACGGGGACAACCUGGACCAGCACUUCCGCCUCCUGGCCCAGAAGCAGAGCCUGCCCUACCUGGAGGCGGCCAACUUGCUGUUGCAGGCCCAGCUGCCCCCGAAGCCCCCGGCUUGGGCCUGGGCGGAGGGCUGGACCCGGUACGGCCCCGAGGGGGAGGCCGUACCCGUGGCCAUCCCCGAGGAGCGGGCCCUGGUGUUCGACGUGGAGGUCUGCUUGGCAGAGGGAACUUGCCCCACAUUGGCGGUGGCCAUAUCCCCCUCGGCCUGGUAUUCCUGGUGCAGCCAGCGGCUGGUGGAAGAGCGUUACUCUUGGACCAGCCAGCUGUCGCCGGCUGACCUCAUCCCCCUGGAGGUCCCUGCUAGUGCCAGCAGCCCCACCCAGAGAGACUGGCAGGAGCAGUUAGUGGUGGGGCACAAUGUUUCCUUUGACCGAGCUCAUAUCAGGGAGCAGUACCUGAUCCAGGGUUCCCGCAUGCGUUUCCUGGACACCAUGAGCAUGCACAUGGCCAUCUCAGGGCUAAGCAGCUUCCAGCGCAGUCUGUGGAUAGCAGCCAAGCAGGGCAAGCACAAGGUCCAGCCCCCCACAAAGCAAGGCCAGAAGUCCCAGAGGAAAGCCAGAAGAGGCCCAGCGAUCUCAUCCUGGGACUGGCUGGACAUCAGCAGUGUCAACAGUCUGGCAGAGGUGCACAGACUUUAUGUAGGGGGGCCUCCCUUAGAGAAGGAGCCUCGAGAACUGUUUGUGAAGGGCACCAUGAAGGACAUUCGUGAGAACUUCCAGGACCUGAUGCAGUACUGUGCCCAGGACGUGUGGGCCACCCAUGAGGUUUUCCAGCAGCAGCUACCGCUCUUCUUGGAGAGGUGUCCCCACCCAGUGACUCUGGCCGGCAUGCUGGAGAUGGGUGUCUCCUACCUGCCUGUCAACCAGAACUGGGAGCGUUACCUGGCAGAGGCACAGGGCACUUAUGAGGAGCUCCAGCGGGAGAUGAAGAAGUCGUUGAUGGAUCUGGCCAAUGAUGCCUGCCAGCUGCUCUCAGGAGAGAGGUACAAAGACGACCCCUGGCUCUGGGACCUGGAGUGGGACCUGCAAGAAUUUAAGCAGAAGAAAGCUAGGAAGGUGAAGAAGGAACCAGCCACAGCCAGCAAGUUGCCCAUCGAGGGGGCUGGGGCCCCUGGUGAUCCCAUGGAUCAGGAAGACCUCGGCCCCUGCAGUGAGGAGGAGGAGUUUCAACAAGAUGUCAUGGCCCGCGCCUGCUUGCAGAAGCUGAAGGGGACCACAGAGCUCCUGCCCAAGCGGCCCCAGCACCUUCCUGGACAUCCUGGAUGGUACCGGAAGCUCUGCCCCCGGCUAGACGACCCUGCAUGGACCCCGGGCCCCAGCCUCCUCAGCCUGCAGAUGCGGGUCACACCUAAACUCAUGGCACUGACCUGGGAUGGCUUCCCUCUGCACUACUCAGAGCGUCAUGGCUGGGGCUACCUGGUGCCUGGGCGGCGGGACAACCUGGCCAAGCUGCCGACAGGUACCACCCUGGAGUCAGCUGGGGUGGUCUGCCCCUACAGAGCCAUCGAGUCCCUGUACAGGAAGCACUGUCUCGAACAGGGGAAGCAGCAGCUGAUGCCCCAGGAGGCCGGCCUGGCCGAGGAGUUCCUGCUCACUGACAAUAGUGCCAUAUGGCAAACGGUAGAAGAACUGGAUUACUUAGAAGUGGAGGCUGAGGCCAAGAUGGAGAACUUGCGAGCUGCAGUGCCAGGUCAACCCCUAGCUCUGACUGCCCGUGGUGGCCCCAAGGACACCCAGCCCAGCUAUCACCAUGGCAAUGGACCUUACAACGACGUGGACAUCCCUGGCUGCUGGUUUUUCAAGCUGCCUCACAAGGAUGGUAAUAGCUGUAAUGUGGGAAGCCCCUUUGCCAAGGACUUCCUGCCCAAGAUGGAGGAUGGCACCCUGCAGGCUGGCCCAGGAGGUGCCAGUGGGCCCCGUGCUCUGGAAAUCAACAAAAUGAUUUCUUUCUGGAGGAACGCCCAUAAACGUAUCAGCUCUCAGAUGGUGGUGUGGCUGCCCAGGUCAGCUCUGCCCCGUGCUGUGAUCAGGCACCCCGACUAUGAUGAGGAAGGCCUCUAUGGGGCCAUCCUGCCCCAAGUGGUGACUGCCGGCACCAUUACUCGCCGGGCUGUGGAGCCCACAUGGCUCACCGCCAGCAAUGCCCGGCCUGACCGAGUAGGCAGUGAGUUGAAAGCCAUGGUGCAGGCCCCACCUGGCUACACCCUUGUGGGUGCUGAUGUGGACUCCCAAGAGCUGUGGAUUGCAGCUGUGCUUGGAGACGCCCACUUUGCCGGCAUGCAUGGCUGCACAGCCUUUGGGUGGAUGACACUGCAGGGCAGGAAGAGCAGGGGCACUGAUCUACACAGUAAGACAGCCACUACUGUGGGCAUCAGCCGUGAGCAUGCCAAAAUCUUCAACUACGGCCGCAUCUAUGGUGCUGGGCAGCCCUUUGCUGAGCGCUUACUAAUGCAGUUUAACCACCGGCUCACACAGCAGGAGGCAGCUGAGAAGGCCCAGCAGAUGUACGCUGCCACCAAGGGCCUCCGCUGGCACUAGCGUGGCACAGGAAGCACUCCCGUGGAAUGAUGGUGAUAACACUGCCCCCAGGUAUCGGCUGUCGGAUGAGGGCGAGUGGCUGGUGAGGGAGUUGAACCUCCCAGUGGACAGGACUGAGGGUGGCUGGAUUUCCCUGCAGGAUCUGCGCAAGGUCCAGAGAGAAACUGCCAGGAAGUCACAGUGGAAGAAGUGGGAGGUGGUUGCUGAACGGGCAUGGAAGGGGGGCACAGAGUCAGAAAUGUUCAAUAAGCUUGAGAGCAUUGCCACGUCUGACAUACCACGUACCCCGGUGCUGGGCUGCUGCAUCAGCCGAGCCCUGGAGCCCUCGGCUGUCCAGGAAGAGUUUAUGACCAGCCGUGUGAAUUGGGUGGUACAGAGCUCUGCUGUUGACUACUUACACCUCAUGCUUGUGGCCAUGAAGUGGCUGUUUGAAGAGUUUGCCAUAGAUGGGCGCUUCUGCAUCAGCAUCCAUGACGAGGUUCGCUACCUGGUGCGGGAGGAGGACCGCUACCGCGCUGCCCUGGCCUUGCAGAUCACCAACCUCUUGACCAGUAAAAUUCCUAGUUCAUAUGGAUGAAUUAAAUAUUACCGUUCCAUGUUGAUCUGCCACUCAGAACCAGUUUGGGAACCAUGAUCUAUCCUGAUUAUUGGGUGCAUGUUUGCCUACAAGCUGGGUCUGAAUGACUUGCCCCAGUCAGUCGCCUUUUUCAGUGCAGUCGAUAUUGACCGGUGCCUCAGGAAGGAAGUGACCAUGGAUUGUAAAACCCCUUCCAACCCAACUGGGAUGGAAAGGAGAUACGGGAUUCCCCAGGGUGAAGCGCUGGAUAUUUACCAGAUAAUUGAACUCACCAAAGGCUCCUUGGAAAAACGAAGCCAGCCUGGACCAUAGCACUGCCUGGAGGCUCUGUAUUUGCUCCCGUGGAGCUUCAUCAGGGUGGUGCAGGCUCCCAAA